AUGCCUACGGGCCAAAGAGGGGGACCUUCGGGCCUCUCGCGUCAGGAUAUGCCUAGGUGGGAUUAGCUAGUUGGUGAGGUAAGGGCUCACCAAGGCAACGAUCCCUAGCUGGUCUGAGAGGAUGAUCAGCCACACUGGAACUGAGACACGGUCCAGACUCCUACGGGAGGCAGCAGUGGGGAAUAUUGCACAAUGGGCGCAAGCCUGA
rnacentral:rRNA from 1 species